AGUUUAGUGUACGAUUGUGUGUGUGUGCUAUUAUUCCAUAUAGCUGAGGUGUCUGCUCAGAGCUGUGGCAUCGCAGCGUAUCCCCAGAUCCGGGUGGUGAACGGCGUGGAGGCUCGUGCCAACUCCUGGCCUUGGCAGGCGCUCGUGCAGAGGUACUCUGGAGGAAGAUGGGUCAACUACUGUGGAGGAACCCUCAUUGAUAGUCAAUGGGUGCUCACCUCUGCGAGCUGCUUCACGAGUGGCUACAGCUACAGGGUGGUGCUGGGAAAGCACAGUGUGUCCACAUCCGAGUUCGGGGAGGUCACCCCUCCAUUGAGCCUGGCCGUCUGGCAUAGCUACUGGAAUCCCAGCAUCCCGGCGAAUGGGUGAGAAUGCACAUGGGCGACGUGACACCGUGACAUUCAGAGUUGCUAUAGACAGAUAUACAUACAUUCAGAGAGACAUGCAUAUGAUACAUUCAGACGGACAAGAAAUA